CCGACUAGCAAUGUCAAAACACUAUUUUCUGUCAAAAAAGGGGCUGCAACUAUUUAGUUUCACGGAAACUUCAAAACUGACACAAGAACAACGAGAUGAAUGACCACGCCAAGCACCAAAAAGUGUGGUGGCAAAUUUAAUUCCGGAACGGAAGCGAUUAAUCGCUCACCGCUUUAUUCGAUGUUUUCUACCCGACGGGAUACUGAAUAUUAUUAUUAUAAUAUCUCUUUUUCUCUUUUUUUUUUUCAUUUAUAUGAG